rnacentral:rRNA from 1 species
GAUGAACGCUGGCGGCGUGCCUAAUACAUGCAAGUCGAGCGAACAGACGAGGAGCUUGCUCCUCUGACGUUAGCGGCGGACGGGUGAGUAACACGUGGAUAACCUACCUAUAAGACUGGGAGAACUUCGGGAAACCGGAGCUAAUACCGGAUAAUAUAUUGAACCGCAUGGUUCAAUAGUGAAAGACGGCUUUGGUGUCACUUAUAGAUGGUUCCGCGCCGCAUUAGCUAGUUGGUAAGGUAACGGCUUACCAAGGCUACGAUGCGUAGCCGACCUGAGAGGGUGAUCGGCCACACUGGAACUGAGACACGGUCCAGACUCCUACGGGAGGCAGCAGUAGGGAAUCUUCCGCAAUGGGCGAAAGCCUGACGGAGCAACGCCGCGUGAGUGAUGAAGGUCUUCGGAUCGUAAAGCUCUGUUAUUAGGGAAGAACAAAUGUGUAAGAAACUAUGCACGUCUUGACGGUACCUAAUCAGAAAGCCACGGCUAACUACGUG